ACAUCGCGAGGUGAAGCAAAUCCCAAAAAACGUAGUCUCAGUUCAGAUUGUAGGCUGCAACUCGCCUACAUGAAGUCGGAAUUGCUAGUAAUCGCGGAUCAGCAUGCCGCGGUGAAUACGUUCCCGGGCCUUGUACACACCGCCCGUCACACCAUGAGAGCCGGUAACACCCGAAGUCAGUAGCCUAACCGCAAGGGGGGCGCUGCCGAAGGUGGGAUUGGUAAUUGGGGUGAAGUCGUAACAAGGUAAC
rnacentral:rRNA from 1 species